rnacentral:rRNA from 1 species
CAGCUCGUGUUGUGAAAUGUUGGGUUAAGUCCCGCAACGAGCGCAACCCUUAUCCUUUGUUGCCAGCGGUCCGGCCGGGAACUCAAAGGAGACUGCCAGUGAUAAACUGGAGGAAGGUGGGGAUGACGUCAAGUCAUCAUGGCCCUUACGACCAGGGCUACACACGUGCUACAAUGGCGCAUACAAAGAGAAGCGACCUCGCGAGAGCAAGCGGACCUCAUAAAGUGCGUCGUAGUCCGGAUUGGAGUCUGCAACUCGACUCCAUGAAGUCGGAAUCGCUAGUAAUCGUGGAUCAGAAUGCCACGGUGAAUACGUUCCCGGGCCUUGUACACACCGCCCGUCACACCAUGGGAGUGGGUUGCAAAAGAAGUAGGUAGCUUAACCUUCGGGAGGGCGCUUACCACUUUGUGAUUCAUGACUGGGGUGAAGUCGUAACAAGGUAACCGUAGGGGAACCUGCGGUUGGAUCACCUCCUUA